AACGGAUGCUGGUGACGUUGCAACGGAGGCAGGGCGCAUUGCAACGGAUACUGGGAUCGUUGCAACGGAAGCUAGGGGCGUUGCAACGUUGGCUGGGGGCGUUGCAACGGAGGCAGGUCGCGUUGCAACGGAUGCUGGGGUCGUUGCAACGGAUGCUGCGCGCGUUGCAACGUUGGCUGGGAGCGUUGCAGCGGAGGCAGGUCGCCGUUGCAACGGAGGCAGGGCGCGUUGCAACAUUGGCUGGGGGCGUUGCAACGGAUGCUGGGCGCGUUGCAACGUUGGCUGGGGGCGGUGCAACGGAUGCUGGGGGCGGUGCAUCGUUGGCUGGUUUCGUUGCACCGGAGGCACCCGCCGUUGCAACGAUGGCUCGGAGCGUUGCAACGAAGGAGCCAAA